rnacentral:lncRNA from 1 species
AGGAGUUAAAAACAAGAAAGAAUUUGGGUCAAAACACAUGUGCUCUGAGGCACCUGAAUCAAUUAUCCAGGUGUCUGAUUUUAGAAUAGUAAAUACUGAACUUGAAUAUUUUAGAGUUUUACCAGCAACUACAUUAGCAUUGAUCCCAUUAUUUCCUCCAUGUGUUAGCUUUGCCUGCUUAUACAUCUGCAUCAUUUAUGCUACAUGCUCGUUGAUGAGUUGCUGACCAAAAUUGUUGUUGUGCUUAUUGUUUUUUCCUGAUGAUCCUUCAUGUUCUUCAUGUGAUAGUACUU